AGUGAACGCUGGCGGUAGGCCUAACACAUGCAAGUCGAACGGCAGCACAGUAAGAGCUUGCUCUUACGGGUGGCGAGUGGCGGACGGGUGAGGAGUACAUCGGAAUCUACUUUUUCGUGGGGGAUAACGUAGGAAAACUAACCCUAAUACCGCAUACGACUUACGGGGAAAAGCAGGGGACUUUGGGACUUGCGGGGUUUGAUGAGGCGGAUGUGGGUUUAGCUAGUUGGGGGGGUAAAGGCCCACCAAGGCGAGGAUCCGUAGCUGGUCUGAGAGGAUGAUCAGCCACACUGGAACUGAGACACGGUCCAGACUCCUACGGGAGGCAGCAGUGGGGAAUAUUGGACAAUGGGCGCAAGCCUGAUCCAGCCAUACCGCGUGGGUGAAGAAGGCCUUCGGGUUGUAAAGCCCUUUUGUUGGGAAAGAAAAGCAGCAGGUUAAUACCCCGCUGUUCUGACGGUACCCAAAGAAUAAGCACCGGCUAACUUCGUG
rnacentral:rRNA from 1 species